CACUACUGUUGACAACGAUAGUGGUAUCAAGUAUUAGAAUUAUUUUAGCUUUAAUGUUAUAUGGGAAAAUGAUGUGACAAAAGGCUGAGGAAAAUUGCACCAAAUAUGGAACUAAAUUUCUGAACAGAUAAAAUUAGAUCUAUCCAUAUUGGCAAAAAGGCAUUUAUGCACUCUCAAGAUACUAUAGGACUAUUAUAGCACAUGAAUACUUGUAAGAGUUACAAAUAGGUGAUUGUAAACUAAUCAUCAGGAUAAAAGAGCCAAAGAAGAAGUGACGCACACCUGUACCACAAAGUAACCACCAAAUGAGUAUAAGGUUUCAGGGGGCUCCCAUAUUGCCGAGCCAGACCAAAAUCGCAGAUUUUCAGCUCCCCUCGAUUAUUUAAAAGUAAAUUAGAUGUUUUCAGAUCUCGGUGAAGUACCCAAUUAUCAUGAAGAUAUUUGACACCCUCUAACAGCUGGAGCGUAAGGCAUUUAACUUCACUUUGACUAAACGGCUGUCUCAUUGUCUCCAUCAAUCCCUUAAGAUCAUGUUCCAUAUACUCCAUGACCAUGAAGAUGCUGUCAAGAUUGCUACCCACAACUACUUCUUUGACAUCCACUGCUGAAGGAUGCUGAAAAGAGAGAAGGAUGUUAAUUUCUCGAAGUGAAGUCAGAGGAAACCCUUCUCUCUCUUUCUCCAUCUUGACCUUCUUCAAAGCAACAAUUUCUCCAGACUUCUUGUCCCUGGCUCUAUAAACAAUCCCGUAAGUGCCUUCAUUUAUCUUGUUCAAUCUCUCAAACUCAUCAACACUUCUGCACCCCCGAAGCAUAUUCACACUCCUUUCUGGGGUGAGUGCAGUCUCUGGUGUACCACAAGAACCUAGUUCAUCCACAGAUUCCAUAUCCGACUGGCUAACACUAGUAGCACCAUAAUUUCGGUCCUCAUCUAUCUCCAUGUAGUCAUUCUUAUCAACGUUGUUAGGGUAACUAUCUCUACUAGAAGACCUAACACACUCAUCAGAUCCAGAGGACCUCCCCCUAGUUCCUUUAGAUCCUUCGGCUUUAACCUCUCCAAGCUCUGGACUUCUUGAUUUCCUAUGCCCCCAUACUAGAGCCGACUCAGUACCAGACCUCCGCACCUUCCAUUUAGGCGUAUCUCCAUUAUCAUGAAUCACACCUUCAUCAACUGGGGAGUCAGCAUUAUUUGCCCAACGAGAGGAAACAAUGGUUCGAGUAGACUCAAAAUCUUCAGCGUCAAAUUCCUCUGCUCCCUGGUCACCACCAGGACACUCUUCGUUGGGAGACAAGGAAGAUGUUUUAACAGGAACUUCCAACACCUCUGGCACUAAAUCAAUCUCAGGAAAUGAUGCUUUGGAAUUCUGAACCUCGCAUUUGUGCUUAGGUGAAACUUGUACGGACUCAUCCAGAGAAGGGACAGACGACGGAACAUUCGAAUUGACCACAGGAGGUGAAAAAGGUAAAUUAGUAGUAUCAGAAACAUUCCUUUUCUCGAAUGCUCUACUCAAUUCCCUGUCAUCUCUAUCCCAAACAAUUGGAGAAAACUUCCGCUUCUUAUUCUGGACAGGCAAUGAUUGUUUUCCAUUUUCUGACGUCUUAACCUCACUCUCUAUAUUAAUCCGAGAUUCCAAAUCACUAGCCCCAUCAGACCCGUCACUAGACAGCUCCCCAGGCUCUCGAUCCAUGACCCGAACUGCCAAUCAGAAAGUACUGGUGAGCCAGUAAAUGAAGUAGCUGGAAAUUUCCUACGCAACUGAUUGUAUCUGAAAUGAAUGCAUCACCAAUUAGUAGAAACGUGACAUUUUAGAAAAAUAUUUAAAACUGUCACCCAUAGAGACCAGAAAGCUAGAUAAUAACCAACCUUAGCCUGAAACCAGUGAAAAGAGUAGCAAAAUGAUGAUGAUGAUGAUGAUAAUAAUAAUCAACUAGUAUAUGGAUUGAAUAUACAAGAUACAAGAACCUACUUAUUCUUGACAAAGUUAACCUUCACCCCAGGAAGUCUAGAAAACCCAGGCCAGAUUGUCUCAUUUGGUGUGCCGAGGAUUCUGAAAAUCUGCAAUAAACAUCAUGAAAGAAACUAAUCAGGCUAUAUGUUAUCCACAUUUAAUAAAAAUCAUAAACUGCAUUAUGAAUAAGAUGCUGACAUAUUUUACCUUGUCAAGCUGAUCAAACUCUGUUUUUCCACUAAACAAGGGCUCUUUUGAUAACAGUUCAGCCAUAAUGCAUCCCACAGACCACAUAUCAAUUGCAGUAGAAUAUUGUUUGGCUCCCAGAAGAAGUUCUGGCGCCCUGCAAAUGAACUUCUAGUUCAAUUUAUCUUAAAUCAGAGAGCAUAAAAUAUGCACAAUAAAAUCAAGAACUAAGAUGCACUACUGUUGACAACGAUAGUGGUAUCAAGUAUUAGAAUUAUUUUAGCUUUAAUGUUAUAUGGGAAAAUGAUGUGACAAAAGGCUGAGGAAAAUUGCACCAAAUAUGGAACUAAAUUUCUGAACAGAUAAAAUUAGAUCUAUCCAUAUUGGCAAAAAGGCAUUUAUGCACUCUCAAGAUACUAUAGGACUAUUAUAGCACAUGAAUACUUGUAAGAGUUACAAAUAGGUGAUUGUAAACUAAUCAUCAGGAUAAAAGAGCCAAAGAAGAAGUGACGCACACCUGUACCACAAAGUAACCACCAAAUGAGUAUAAGGUUUCAGGGGGCUCCCAUAUUGCCGAGCCAGACCAAAAUCGCAGAUUUUCAGCUCCCCUCGAUUAUUUAAAAGUAAAUUAGAUGUUUUCAGAUCUCGGUG
rnacentral:lncRNA from 1 species